rnacentral:rRNA from 1 species
CCUACGGGAGGCAGCAGUGGGGAAUAUUGCACAAUGGAGGGAAGCCUGAUGCAGCGACGCCGCGUGGGGGAAGGAGGAUUUCGGGAUGUAAAGCACUAUCAGCAGGGAAGAACAGUGACGGUAACUGACUAAGAAGCACAGGCUAAAUACGUGCCAGCAGCCGCGGUAAUACGUAUGGUGGAAGCGUUAGCCGGAUUUACUGGGUGUAAAGGGAGCGCAGGCGGCGCGUUAAGCCUGGUGUGAAAGCCCGCGGCCCAACCGCGGGACUGCAUUGGGAACUGGCUCGCCUGAGUGCCGGAGGGGUCGGCGGAAUUCCUAGUGUAGCGGUGAAAUGCGUAGAUAUUAGGAGGAACACCAGUGGCGAAGGCGGCCUACUGGACGGUGACUGACGCUGAGGCUCGAAAGCGUGGGGAGCAAACAGGAUUAGAUACCCCAGUAGUC